UUUAGUCAGAGUCGGACAACAUGGCAAGUUCGCCAAAUUCGUCGGACGUGAUGGUGGGGAGGUACCAGGCGCGGAAGACGAUCGAGAGGUCUAACUUCUCGCAGACAUGUAAUUUUAGCCAAGCAAAGAAGAAUCUGAUGUUUUUGGCUAUUUUGUUGGUUCGCUAUGGUUCAAGAAAACCCAAUAUGUUUAAUUAGAAGGCAUCGAUGACGACAACCCAUGAAUUUGUUUCCUCCACUUGCCGGUUUUGGGAAUUCUUCUUCUGAAGACCAACCUAUGACACCCGAUUUCAGACAGGCGGCAAAGGAGCCCGAGAAAGCCCAGAUGACGAUACUUUAUGCCGGAAAAGUGCUUGUGUUCGAUGAUUUUCCGAUAGAGAAAGCAAAGGAUGUCAUGCUUUUUGUAAGUAAGGCAAGCUCCCUCGAUUCCAGCAGCUUGGCCUCUACUUCUGGAGGCUUUGCCUCUUCAUCCCUCCAUUCCAGCAGCUUGGCCUCUACUUCUGGAGGCUUUGCCUCUUCAUUCAAAUGUCGUUCCGAUCUCUGCCAAGAAUCCUAACCAAGACCGAGAAUCAAAAGGCAUUGAUGAAAGGGCAGCAUACCUCCUCCAUGCAAUUUCUUUCAAUGGGCAGUUCCCUUAAACUUUUCUAAUGAAGGCAAUUCAACAACGAAUCACCUAGAAAGCUGCAUUGCAAAGCUUCAUGAACUAGUAGUUGGUUUUGACUGUCAUAUUAAGGCUAUGCAGUCCUCCCAAGAAGUAGUUAUUGAAGGGUUAAGGACCAUGAGGGUCUUACUCAUUGUGUUAAUUGCUAUAUUUUUUGGCAUGUAUAUGUACAGGAAUUAGAGUUAUAUGUACAAUAAGUAGUUAAUAAACUGUAUCCCGAUGAAAUUAUAGUCUGGAACUUAAUCCCUUUGUGGAUGGGAAGGGUUAAUAGA